UACGUAGGGGGCAAGCGUUGUCCGGAUUUAUUGGGCGUAAAGCGCUCGCAGGUGGUUCGUCGCGUCGUGCGUGAAAGACCCCGGCUCAACUGGGGGGCGUCGUGCGAAACGGGCGGACUGGAGGCCAGUAGGGGGAUGCGGAAUUCCGGGUGUAGUGGUGGAGUGCGUAGAGAUCCGGAGGAACACCAGCGGCGAAGGCGGCAUCCUGGACUGGUCCUGACACUCAUGAGCGAAAGCGUGGGGAGCAAACGGG
rnacentral:rRNA from 1 species